AUUGAACGCUGGCGGCAGGCCUAACACAUGCAAGUCGAACGGUAACAGGAAGCAGCUUGCUGCUUUGCUGACGAGUGGCGGACGGGUGAGUAAUGUCUGGGAAACUGCCUGAUGGAGGGGGAUAACUACUGGAAACGGUAGCUAAUACCGCAUAACGUCGCAAGACCAAAGAGGGGGACCUUCGGGCCUCUUGCCAUCGGAUGUGCCCAGAUGGGAUUAGCUAGUAGGUGGGGUAAAGGCUCACCUAGGCGACGAUCCCUAGCUGGUCUGAGAGGAUGACCAGCCACACUGGAACUGAGACACGGCCCAAACUCCUACGGGAGGCAGCAGUAGGGAAUCUUCGGCAAUGGACGCAAGUCUGACCGAGCAACGCCGCGUGAGUGAAGAAGGCCUUCGGGUUGUAAAGUACUUUCAGCGGGGAGGAAGGGAGUAAAGUUAAUACCUUUGCUCAUUGACGUUACCCGCAGAAGAAGCACCGGCUAACUCCGUGCCAGCCGCCGCAGUAAAAC
rnacentral:rRNA from 1 species